rnacentral:rRNA from 1 species
CCUACGGGAGGCAGCAGUGGGGAAUAUUGCUCAAUGGGGGAAACCCUGAAGCAGCAACGCCGCGUGGGGGAUGAAGGUUUUCGGGUUGUAAACUCCUUUUGUUAGAGAAGAUAAUGACGGUAUCUAACGAAUAAGCACCGGCUAACUUCGUGCCAGCAGGCGCGGUUAUACGGAGGGUGCAAGCGUUACUCGGAAUCACUGGGCGUAAAGAGCGCGUAGGCGGGAUAGCAAGUCAGAGGUGAAAUCCUAUGGCUUAACCAUAGAAUUGCAUUUGAAACUGUGAGUCUAGAGUAUGGGAGAGGUAGGUGGAAUUCUUGGUGUAGGGGUAAAAUCCUUAGAGAUCAAGAGGAAUACUCAUUGCGAAGGCGACCUGCUAGAACAUAACUGACGCUGAUGCGCGAAAGCGUGGGGAGCAAACAGGAUUAGAUACCCGGGUAGUC